CACGUAGGGUGCGAGCGUUGUCCGGAAUUAUUGGGCGUAAAGAGCUCGUAGGCGGCGUGUCGCGUCGGCCGUGAAAACCUGCAGCUUAACUGUGGGCUUGCGGUCGAUACGGGCAUCACUGGAGUUCGGCAGGGGAGACUGGAAUUCCUGGUGUAGCGGUGAAAUGCGCAGAUAUCAGGAGGAACACCGGUGGCGAAGGCGGGUCUCUGGGCCGAUACUGACGCUGAGGAGCGAAAGCGUGGGGAGCAAACAGG
rnacentral:rRNA from 1 species